AACGAACGCUGGCGGCAGGCUUAACACAUGCAAGUCGAGCGAAGCCUUCGGGCUUAGCGGCGGACGGGUGAGUAACGCGUGGGAACGUGCCCUUCUGUGCGGAAUAGUCCCUGGAAACGGGGUUUAAUACCGCAUACGCCCUUUGGGGGAAAGAUUUAUCGCAGAAGGAUCGGCCCGCGUCUGAUUAGGUAGUUGGUGGGGUAAUGGCCUACCAAGCCGACGAUCAGUAGCUGGUUUUAGAGGAUGAUCAGCCACACUGGGACUGAGACACGGCCCAGACUCCUACGGGAGGCAGCAGUGGGGAAUCUUAGACAAUGGGCGCAAGCCUGAUCUAGCCAUGCCGCGUGAGUGAUGAAGGUCUUAGGAUCGUAAAGCUCUUUCGCUGGGGAAGAUAAUGACGGUACCCAGU
rnacentral:rRNA from 1 species